AGAGUUUGAUCCUGGCUCAGGAUGAACGCUGGCGGCGUGCCUAAUACAUGCAAGUCGAGCGAACAGACGAGGAGCUUGCUCCUCUGACGUUAGCGGCGGACGGGUGAGUAACACGUGGAUAACCUACCUAUAAGACUGGGAUAACUUCGGGAAACCGGAGCUAAUACCGGAUAAUAUAUUGAACCGCAUGGUUCAAUAGUGAAAGACGGUUUUGCUGUCACUUAUAGAUGGAUCCGCGCCGCAUUAGCUAGUUGGUAGGGUAACGGCUUACCAAGGCGACGAUGCGUAGCCGACCUGAGAGGGUGAUCGGCCACACUGGAACUGAGACACGGUCCAGACUCCUACGGGAGGCAGCAGUAGGGAAUCUUCCGCAAUGGGCGAAAGCCUGACGGAGCAACGCCGCGUGAGUGAUGAAGGUCUUCGGAUCGUAAAACUCUGUUAUUAGGGAAGAACAAAUGUGUAAGUAACUAUGCACGUCUUGACGGUACCUAAUCAGAAAGCCACGGCUAACUACGUGCCAGCAGCCGCGGUAAUACGUAGGUGGCAAGCGUUAUCCGGAAUUAUUGGGCGUAAAGCGCGCGUAGGCGGUUUUUUAAGUCUGAUGUGAAAGCCCACGGCUCAACCGUGGAGGGUCAUUGGAAACUGGAAAACUUGAGUGCAGAAGAGGAAAGUGGAAUUCCAUGUGUAGCGGUGAAAUGCGCAGAGAUUUGGAGGAACACCAGUGCCGAAUGCGACUUUCUGGUCUGUAACUGACGCUGAUGUGCGAAAGCGUGGGGAUCAAACAGGAUUAGAUUACCUGGUUAGUCACGCCGUAAACGAUGACUGCUAAGUGUAGGGGUUUCCGCCCCUUAAUGCUGCAGCUAACGCAUUAAGCACUCCGCCUGGGGGAGUACGACGCAAAGUUGAAA
rnacentral:rRNA from 1 species